rnacentral:lncRNA from 1 species
AUUAGUAUGAUAAACAUAUUACUGAAGUUUCCUUUUUACUAAUCUGCUUAUUUGAUAAAAGCACGAAAUAGUCUCUCAUUCUAGAUAUCUGCCUAAAUAUCUUGGGUAUCUACCUUUAAAUAUCUUAAGAUAUCUAUACUUGUAACGAUUUUUCCUUUGUUGCUGGUAAUUUGAGCUUCGUUAUCGGCAAUGAGGUGUUUGGCGAAACGUCAUUAAGCCGUUGUCUUAACAUCUUGAAGUAUAGUAGCGUAGAGCUAAAUAGCGCUAAUGCAGAAUUUUUCCUUUAAUCGUAAUUGUAGUAUAACUGAUUAAUCGAUUUUGAUUAUACUGUAUUAUAAAAUAUAUUUUGAUAUUAAGUUAUUUUAUUAAAAAAAAUUAAUUCUACGAAUUAUUUUUUAAGUAGGAACAAAAAAGUAUGAUAUAUUAGGCUGGUUCCAAACGAGUCGAAAAAAUUUGCGACGACACGAAUGAUUGCUAACUUUUUGUGAGAGAUUUUAUACUCUACCGCUUAUCGACGACAUGUUUGCAAAAACCGGUCGACGAAACUUGUGACGUACUUAAUGAGAUCCAAUCAGUAUCGACUACUUCGUUUCGAAUUUCAACGUCACUAUUACUUCGAUUUUCUCGCGUACACUUGGUCUGAACUGCUCGUAUCUUUCCCCCGAAAUAUCCAACUUGCUGAAUACGGCUUCUGUUUGCGGACAUGCCCCAUAAAACAACUUGGAGCGAUUUCCAAGGGACGCACGAUAGCGACACAACUGCGACCAAAUUUUGUCUAACGAUCGUUUCCAAUGGCGUGAAUGCGCGGCGAAAUCUACUCGUUUGGGGCCAGUCUUAAAUUGAUUAAUCAUAUUAAAAUGUUCAUAUAUAUCUCCUGAUUAAUAAAUUUGUUUUAAUUAUAUUUAACAUUACGAACAAUUCAAUUUAUCAUAUGUUAACAUCCAUAAUCGGGGAUUUUCAGAGAAAAUGCGUGGCCUGGGCAACUAAUAUUUUUGAACCCUUCAAAAAAAAAAGAAAAGAAAAAAAAAAGACAAAAUUGUCAAAUAUAUAGUGAUAAGUGCAC